rnacentral:rRNA from 1 species
AGAGUUUGAUCAUGGCUCAGGACGAACGCUGGCGGCGUGCUUAACACAUGCAAGUCGAACGGAAAGGCCCCUUCGGGGGUACUCGAGUGGCGAACGGGUGAGUAACACGUGGGUGAUCUGCCCUGCACUUUGGGAUAAGCCUGGGAAACUGGGUCUAAUACCGAAUAGGACCGCAUGCUUCACGGUGUGUGGUGGAAAGCUUUUGCGGUGUGGGAUGGGCCCGCGGCCUAUCAGCUUGUUGGUGGGGUAAUGGCCUACCAAGGCGACGACGGGUAGCCGGCCUGAGAGGGUGUCCGGCCACACUGGGACUGAGAUACGGCCCAGACUCCUACGGGAGGCAGCAGUGGGGAAUAUUGCACAAUGGGCGCAAGCCUGAUGCAGCGACGCCGCGUGGGGGAUGACGGCCUUCGGGUUGUAAACCUCUUUCAGUAUCGGCGAAGCUCCAGGAUUUUUCUUGGGGUGACGGUAGGUACAGAAGAAGCACCGGCCAACUACGUGCCAGCAGCCGCGGUAAUACGUAGGAUGCGAGCGUUGUCCGGAAUUACUGGGCGUAAAGAGCUCGUAGGUGGUUUGUCACGUUGUCUGUGAAAACUCACAGCUUAACUGUGGGCGUGCGGGCGAUACGGGCAGACUGGAGUACUGUAGGGGAGACUGGAAUUCCUGGUGUAGCGGUGGAAUGCGCAGAUAUCAGGAGGAACACCGGUGGCGAAGGCGGGUCUCCGGGCAGUAACUGACGCUGAGGAGCGAAAGCGUGGGGAGCGAACAGGAUUAGAUACCCUGGUAGUCCAA